UACGGAGGGGGCUAGCGUUGUUCGGAAUUACUGGGCGUAAAGGGCACGUAGGCGGCUUUGCAAGUUAGAGGUGAAAGCCCGGGGCUCAACCCCGGAAUUGCCUUUAAAACUGCAUCGCUAGAAUUGUGGAGAGGUAAGUGGAAUUCCGAGUGUAGAGGUGAAAUUCGUAGAUAUUCGGAAGAACACCAGUGGCGAAGGCGACUUACUGGACACAUAUUGACGCUGAGGUGCGAAAGCGUGGGGAGCAAACAGG
rnacentral:rRNA from 1 species